GUUUCCGUAGCUCAGUUGGAUACGAGCGGUCGCCUCCUAAGCGACAGGCCGGCGGUUCGAGCCCGCCCGGAAACGCCA
rnacentral:tRNA from 1 species